UACGUAGGGCGCAAGCGUUGUCCGGAAUUAUUGGGCGUAAAGAGCUCGUAGGCGGUCUGUCGCGUCUGCCGUGAAAACCCGAGGCUUAACCUCGUGGCUUGCGGUGGAUACGGGCAGACUAGAGGUAGGUAGGGGAGAAUGGAAUUCCCGGUGUAGCGGUGAAAUGCGCAGAUAUCGGGAGGAACACCGGUGGCGAAGGCGGUUCUCUGGGCCGUACCUGACGCUGAGGAGCGAAAGCGUGGGGAGCGAACAGG
rnacentral:rRNA from 1 species